rnacentral:lncRNA from 1 species
UGUCACGACCGCACUUGCUAAGGAUAGCAAAUUCGGGGAAACCGCGACUAAGGGAGGGGAUUUAGGAGCGGGAUUUAGAAAGGGGUAUAUUCGGUCUCUUGAUGACUCGACUUGUAUAAGGAAAACAAUUGAAAUUAACUAGAAUUUAACGAAGGCCACAAGGGAACCGUACAUAAUAUUAUCCAAAAGGGGUACUCAACGAGUUUGAGUACAUUGUUAAAUAAUACAUAUUGUUUGACAAAUGACAUAAUAUCAUAACAAAAUCAGUGUUCGCAGCGG